CCCAGACUCCUACGGGAGGCAGCAGUGGGGAAUAUUGCACAAUGGGGGGAACCCUGAUGCAGCGAUGCCGCGUGGAGGAAGAAGGUUUUCGGAUUGUAAACUCCUUUUAUCAGGGACGAUAAUGACGGUACCUGAAGAAAAAGCUCCGGCUAACUACGUGCCAGCAGCCGCGGUAAUACGUAGGGGGCAAGCGUUAUCCGGAUUUACUGGGUGUAAAGGGAGCGUAGACGGCAUGGCAAGUCUGAUGUGAAAACCCGGGGCUCAACCCCGGGACUGCAUUGGAAACUGUCAGGCUAGAGUGUCGGAGAGGCAAGUGGAAUUCCUAGUGUAGCGGUGAAAUGCGAAGAUAUUAGGAGGAACACCAGUGGCGAAGGCGGCUUGCUGGACGAUGACUGACGUUGAGGCUCGAAAGCGUGGGGAGCAAACAGGAUUAGAUACCCUGGUAC
rnacentral:rRNA from 1 species